rnacentral:lncRNA from 1 species
ACCUGAUCUUGAUAUGGGUUCUUAAGAAUCUUAUCACUUUUAAGCUCAGAGAUUACUUUAUUUUUCGAUUUGAGAAUUCUUAGGUGAGAUAUUAGAUUGAUGACUAGAUCCAGAUGGUUGGUGGGUGGGUGGGUUGUUUUCAAAAUUUGAUAUUGAUUGGCUCGACAAUUGAUCUAGUUCUCUCCUUAUGAAAGACUCAGCUAA